ACGGUAACGAACUAGCUUGCUAGUUGCUGACGAGUGGCGGACGGGUGAGUAAUACUUAGGGAUCUGCCUCUGUGUGGGGGAUAACUAUUGGAAACGAUAGCUAAUACCGCAUAACGUCUACGGACCAAAGAGGGCUUCGGCUCUCGCGCAGAGAGGAACCUAAGCGAGAUUAGCUUGUUGGUGAGGUAAAGGCUCACCAAGGCGACGAUCUCUAGCUGUUCUGAGAGGAAGAUCAGCCACACUGGAACUGAGACACGGUCCAGACUCCUACGGGAGGCAGCAGUGGGGAAUAUUGCACAAUGGGGGCAACCCUGAUGCAGCCAUGCCGCGUGUGUGAAGAAGGCCUUCGGGUUGAAAAGCACUUUCAGUUGUGAGGAAAGGUUAGUAGUUAAUACCUGCUAGCUGUGACGUUAACAACAGAAGAAGCACCGGCUAACUCCGUGCCAGCAGCCGCGGUAAUACGGAGGGUGCGAGCGUUAAUCGGAAUUACUGGGCGUAAAGCGCACGCAGGCGGUCUGUUAAUCUAAAUGUGAAAGCCCCGCGCUCAACGUGGGAGGGUCAUUUAGAACUGGCAGUCUAGAGUCUUGGAGAGGGGAGUGGAAUUCCCGGUGUAGCGGGGAAAUGCCUAGAGAUCUGGGAGAAACAUCAAUGGGCGAAGGCAACUCCCUGGCCAAAGACUGACCCUCUUGUGCCAAAGUGUGGGAAGCGAAACAGGAAUAGAUACCCCUGGUAGUCCCCCCCCGUAAACCCUGUCUACUAACUGUUUGCGGAAUUUAACCCGUGAGUAGCGAA
rnacentral:rRNA from 1 species